UUCUGUUCACUCUUUGUUUAUUUCUUGUUUGGAACCAAAGCUAAGUUCUGUAAAAUAUUCUGUUUUAAGAUCUGAGAACUUUUUCACCUUAAAGAUAAACCUGUGAAGCUUUGAAAGGUUCAGGUUCUCCAGAAAUCAAAGUAACAGACAUGAAAUGUGGUGAGAACAGACAGAAGAGUUUCAUCAGAUCAGUGACUGAAUGGAUCCAGCAGAGGACACGGUUUCAUUUCUGAAAAUGUAAUCAAGAACAAAUCUCCAAUCCAGGCUGGUCUAGUGUCUCCAUGAAGUUCCUGUCAGUGUUUAUUUAUGGAUGGAUCCAUGUUUCUGCUAAAAUCCAGUCUUUGGUCCACAUUUCUCCAACAAUUGAGGCUCCAACAUCAGUAGAAUCUGAUGAGUUACAGUUUGACCAGACAAGGUUCCAGUUUUUAGAUGUUUAGACUAAAUGUUGAUGUGGACUCAUUGGUAGGAACCAGAACCUGGAGUUCAUAGAGGUCUAGGUGUUCAUAGAGGUCUAGGUGUUCAUAGAGGUCUAGGUGUUCAUAGAGGUCUAGAUGUUCAUUGAGGUCUAGGUGUUCAUAGAGGUCUAGGUGUUCAUAGAGGUCUAGAUGUUCAUAGAGGUCUAGGUGUUCAUAGAGGUCUAGAUGUUCAUAGAGGUCUAGGUGUUCAUAGAGGUCUAGGUGUUCAUAGAGGUCUAGAUGUUCAUAGAGGUCUAGAUGUUCAUAGAGGUCUAGGUGUUCAUAGAGGUCUAGAUGUUCAUAGAGGUCUAGGUGUUCACAGAGGUCUAGGUGUUCAUAGAGGUCUAGAUGUUCAUAGAGGUCUAGAUGUUCAUAGAGGUCUAGAUGUUCACAGAGGUCUAGGUGUUCAUAGAGGUCUAGGUGUUCAGAGGUCUAGGUGUUCAUAGAGGUCUAGGUGUUCAGAGGUCUAGGUGUUCAUAGAGGUCUAGGUGUUCAUAGAGGUCUAGGUGUUCAGAGGUCUAGGUGUUCAGAGGUCUAGGUGUUCAUUGAGGUCUAGGUGUUCAUAGAGGUCUAGGUGUUCAUAGAGGUCUAGAUGUUCAUAGAGGUCUAGGUGUUCAUAGAGGUCUAGGUGUUCAUAGAGGUCUAGGUGUUCAUAGAGGUCUAGGUGUUCAUAGAGGUCUAGGUGUUCAUAGAGGUCUAGAUGUUCAUAGAGGUCUAGGUGUUCAUAGAGGUCUAGGUGUUCAGAGGUCUAGGUGUUCAUAGAGGUCUAGGUGUUCAUAGAGGUCUAGGUGUUCAUAGAGGUCUAGAUGUUCAUAGAGGUCUAGGUGUUCAUAGAGGUCUAGGUGUUCAUAGAGGUCUAGAUGUUCAUAGAGGUCUAGAUGUUCAUAGAGGUCUAGGUGUUCAUAGAGGUCUAGAUGUUCAUAGAGGUCUAGGUGUUCACAGAGGUCUAGGUGUUCAUAGAGGUCUAGAUGUUCAUAGAGGUCUAGAUGUUCAUAGAGGUCUAGAUGUUCACAGAGGUCUAGGUGUUCAUAGAGGUCUAGGUGUUCAGAGGUCUAGGUGUUCAUAGAGGUCUAGGUGUUCAUAGAGGUCUAGAUGUUCAUAGAGGUCUAGGUGUUCAUAGAGGUCUAGGUGUUCAUAGAGGUCUAGGUGUUCAUUGAGGUCUAGAUGUUCAUAGAGGUCAAGGUGUUCAUAGAGGUCUAGAUGUUCAUAGAGGUCUAGAUGUUCAUAGAGGUCUAGGUGUUCAUAGAGGUCUAGGUGUUCAGAGGUCUAGGUGUUCAUAGAGGUCUAGGUGUUCAUAGAGGUCUAGGUGUUCAGAGGUCUAGGUGUUCAUAGAGGUCUAGGUGUUCAUAGAGGUCUAGGUGUUCAGAGGUCUAGGUGUUCAUAGAGGUCUAGGUGUUCAGAGGUCUAGGUGUUCAUUGAGGUCUAGGUGUUCAUAGAGGUCUAGGUGUUCAUAGAGGUCUAGAUGUUCAUAGAGGUC